AAAUGUGCCAUUUUGUCUCCGCUUUGCGGAGAUCAAGCAACAGAGGUCAGCUAACUCCGGGCCUCAUGGCUCCGGACACCUGCUGACCAAAUAGAAGAGCAUCACGGAGCAUUCUUUUAAGAAAUACUGCAUUAUAUAUAUUCUCCAUGGUAUAGAAGGUGAUAUUGUCUGGCAAAAUAUGGACAAAAAGUGAGUUAGCAGAUCCAUGAGGCUUCCUGUGUCUUUGAAGUUUUGGAGAUGUCAUUUGAAAGUGAGUUAAAACUGGAUUGAUGUACCAAGAAUAACUUAUCCAGGUCAUUUAAUAAAUGAAUGCAUGAAAGUUUCAUGUGCAAAAGAGAGAAAUCCUACCUUUGGAAUCAAUUCUAAAAGAAGUUCCCACCCUGCUUCUCUGCCUGAUCCAUGGUUAUCGUUCUAGAAUUCUAUGUGAAACAUAGGGAGAAAUGCACACAGAAGAAUCUCCAUGAAGCAAGAUACCAGAGUGAUGAAAUAAUCUGUAUAACAAACCCCCAUGACAUGAAUUUACCUAUGCAACACACCUGCACGUG
rnacentral:lncRNA from 1 species